rnacentral:lncRNA from 1 species
CGUCAAGCAAGGGGAGACAUGGUGGGAAGGCAAACAUGGAGAUCGUUGGAAUCGUACUUGGGGAGAGGGCCACAAUGGUUCAGGAUGGGUGCACAAGUAUGGAAAGAGCAGCAAUGGGGAGCACUGGGACACCCAUGUAAAUGAAGAAACAUGGUAUGAGAAGUUCCCUCACUAUGGUUUCUACCAUUGUUUUGAGAAUUCAGUCCAGCUCCGCGAAGUCAAGAAACCUUCUGAAUGGCCAUGAUUAGUACUCUUUCGUUCUUUUGCCACCAUCUACCACUGCUCAAAAUAGUAUGUAGAACAUGUUAUCAGUUCGUUCAGCUUAUCAAAGCUAUUCAAAAAUCCCAACCCGCCCCAGCCAAAUAACCCGACCCAACUAAGACCCGCUCCAAUUCCUUUAACAAAAAAGAAAUUCCUAUUCAUUGAUCCUAAAUCUGCUCAUCUCCUCUCUUUUCUCCACUCCGCCAUCUUCUCAAUCUAAAGCAAACUGUUGGAGUAACAUUCUUGGAGGACAUAUUGCAUAGGUAGACGGGAAGACAUUUUAGGCCCAAUAGGUAGAUGAACAUUUUUGCACCAUUUUAGUUAGUUGAAGGGCAUUUUAGGCCCUUUUCCGUAUUUUCUAUUAUAAAAUGGUACAGCUGCUUUUGACUUAUCAGUAAGUCUUUAUGUUAUAUUUUAUUCCUCACCAAGUAUGGUGCAAAUCCAUUUGGCAGGUGGGGUGAGAUGUAUGAUGGAAAAGGCGGCAACAUAAAAUACACUGAUAAAUGGGCUGAGCGUUUUGAGGGUGAUGGUUGGUCGAGAUGGGGUGAUAAAUGGGAUGAGAACUUUGAUCUGAAUGGGCAUGGCGUCAAGCAAGGGGAGACAUGGUGGGAAGGCAAACAUGGAGAUCGUUGGAAUCGUACUUGGGGAGAGGGCCACAAUGGUUCAGGAUGGGUGCACAAGUAUGGAAAGAGCAGCAAUGGGGAGCACUGGGACACCCAUGUAAAUGAAGAAACAUGGUAUGAGAAGUUCCCUCACUAUGGUUUCUACCAUUGUUUUGAGAAUUCAGUCCAGCUCCGCGAAGUCAAGAAACCUUCUGAAUGGCCAUGAUUAGUACUCUUUCGUUCUUUUGCCACCAUCUACCACUGCUCAAAAUAGUAUGUAGAACAUGUUAUCAGUUCGUUCAGCUUAUCAAAGCUAUUCAAAAAUUGUAUAGGAAUUCCGUUACGUGCUUCUGAUGAAACGUCAUUACUGAUUCUGUCACAAAUAUUAGUUCUGCUCUUGUAAGAUAAGUAGUAGGAGGUCAGUAUAUUUUGAAACAAAUAAGUUGGCCUAUAGUGCCCUAACAUUGCCUUAUGGGAAUCUCCUGUGUGAGUUGAAGCUAAUGAUAGUUUCACUAUCCUGCAACAUGAUGAUGAUGGUUUCACAGUUUAUUUUUGAUAAUUUUUCUAAUAUAAUCCCCUUGUGACCUACGAAUUUAUCGGGC